rnacentral:lncRNA from 1 species
AAAAACUUUCACAGUAUUUUCAUCUUAUUUCUGUGCUGAGAGAAAAGUAAAAUGCAUACUAUAUAGAACAGCACAGAAACAGAUAAAAGCCGUAAAAGAACAAAAUGUUUUCCAUUUUAGGUCAUUUCAGCUAUAUACUGCAGUGAAAAUUGCUUAGGGUUUAUCAAUCUGUGAGUUAGUGUAACGGUGUCAAAUCACGAGAUGGGCAUAAUGGGCCAAUCAGGCUAUGGCUGAAGCCAAUUGCAGAAGCGUGACUCAGUGGUAAUAUGCCUGAACUGGAGCCAGCAGUGCUGGAGCUGCAGUCAUUCCUGAUCUGUGAUUCCAGUAACUUCAGUUUGCUUUUCACUCCUUGGAUAUGCACAGGAAAUUGACUUCAUCUCCAUAGGCAGUUACAUUUUCUGAGGGAUUCCAGUCGUUUGAGAACUGUUUAUAGAGCCAGUGCUGUCUGUAAUUGUACUUGCUGGGUACACAGUCAAAGUAGGCAGUUUUGAUUAUUUACCUGAUAUAACUGUACUGGAGAGAUAAAGGAUGUAUGCUAAAUAAACCUGAAACUUAGGUAGAAGCCCAAACUCAAAGCUACUGCAAUUUUGACCUCAAAGUAUCCAAUGUUCUGCAGAACAUACUCUUCCCACCUUAUCAAUUUAGUGUUCUGUACAACGAAAUAGUCCUGGUUUCUAACACAUCACUUUGUGUCCAGUUCAUUUUAAAGAUACUGAGGUCAAGACCUUCUGUGGUUUCCCAAGCUUAAUUUUCUACGAAACCAAGUUUCUCUCAGAAACUAUAGCAUGAAUACAGUGCAGCUGUGAGAAGAGAGGGGGAAAGCCAGCCCAGCACUGCAUGUGCCCACUUCUUCUAACCACUGUGGACACAAAGUAGAUGAAGCCUGGCACUCCAUGGAAAUGUGAUCUCACUGAGAGUGGGGAGCAGAGGUUGUUAAGGAAGAGUUUGGACAGCUUUACCACUGUCCCAGCUAACCCAUGGUAAGUAGCUGUAGUAAGGUUACUGAGGACCAGUGUGAAGUGAAAGGAGAUGAUUUAAACUACAGCUCCACUCCUCAAAGAUGAACUAAGACUUAAAUACCAUGGAAAGUUUCUAACUCCUUGACCUGUUUGGACUUUUUCCUGAGAACAAAUCUGAGUAUAUCACUAGUUAUCGAUUCUUGGUGAAUUAGAAAAGCAGUAAUACUUGUUCUCCUCACUCACUGAUUCUCACUUUACACAUCCCACUGUCUCUUGAGUAUGAACAUACCCCA